AAUGAACGUUGGCGGCGUGGAUUAGGCAUGCGAGUCGCGCGAUAAUGUAGCAAUACAGGAAAGCGGCGGAAGGGAGAGUAAUACGUGGGAAUCUGCCCUUAGACCUGGGAUAGCAGCGGGAAACUGCUGGUAAUACCAGGUAAUGUCUAUGGACCAAAGGUGUGAUUCCGUCUAGGGAUGAGCCCACGUCCUAUUAGCUAGUUGGUAGGGUAAUGGCCUACCAAGGCGAUGAUGGGUAGCGGGUGUGAGAGCAUGACCCGCCUCACUGGGACUGAGACCCUGCCCAGACACCUACGGGUGGCUGCAGGCGAGAAUCUUCGGCAAUGGGCGCAAGCCUGACCGAGCGAUGCCGCGUGCGGGAUGAAGGCCUUCGGGUUGUAAACCGCUGUCGAGGGGGAGCAACUUCCAUAGAGUUAUCUUUAUGGAUUGAGUGAUCCCUGGAGGAAGGACGGGCUAAGUUCGUGCCAGCAGCCGCCGUAAAAC
rnacentral:rRNA from 1 species